rnacentral:rRNA from 1 species
GUCGUCUCAGUUCGGAUUGGAGUCUGCAACUCGACUCCAUGAAGCUGGAUUCGCUAGUAAUCGCGCAUCAGCCAUGGCGCGGUGAAUACGUUCCCGGGCCUUGUACACACCGCCCGUCAAGCCAUGGAAGCCGGGGGUGCCUGAAGUGCGUGACCGCAAGGAGCGCCCUAAGGUAAAACCGGUGACUGGGGCUAAGUCGUAACAAGGUAAC